CUGAACAUUCUCCACGAUUUCGGGCGCGCCACGGGGCUCUAUAUCAACACUGGAAAAUCGACGGCUUCUUCGAUCAGCUGCGACGAUCUCAACCUUGAGGACGUGCUUCACAAUUUUGGCGGCUCCAUAGCGCACUUCCCCACUAAGUAUCUAGGGCUACCGCUUACAACUGGCUGGCUCCGGCUCACGCACCUUCAGUUCAUCAUAGACAGAAUCAAAGCCCGGCUUGCGGGAUGGAAGGGUAGGCUGAUCCACAUCGCGGGACGGCGCGUGCUGGUCCGCUGCGUCCUCAGUUCCAUGCCUACCUUCGUGUUAACCGUUCUGCAGAUACCCAAGAAGAUCCUCAAGGAAAUCGACAAGUGCCAUCGCCGCUUCCUCUGGAAACAAGAUGAUGAGAUCACCGGCGCCAGCUGCAAGGUAAACUGGGUGGCGGUCUGCACGCCAACGGCAAACGGGGGUCUGGGAGUCCUGACCUCCAGCGCUUCGGUCAAGCCCUUCGACUCUGUUGGCCAUGGUUCUCAUGGCGCCACCCUGAGAGGCCUUGGGUGGGCUCGGAUCUGCCUUGCAAUGCCGACGAGCUCUCGCUUUUCACGGUGGCUACCGCGGUCAGCAUCGGGGACGGCGCAUCGGCAUCCUUCUGGCACUCGCCGUGGCUGGGACCGGGCACGCUCGCCCAGCAAUUCCCGCGGCUGGCCCAGCACGCCCGAAGAAAGAACAAGACGGUAA
rnacentral:rRNA from 1 species